rnacentral:rRNA from 1 species
UUGUCCGGAAUUACUGGGCGUAAAGAGCUCGUAGGUGGUUUGUCGCGUUGUUCGUGAAAACUCACAGCUUAACUGUGGGCGUGCGGGCGAUACGGGCAGACUAGAGUACUGCAGGGGAGACUGGAAUUCCUGGUGUAGCGGUGGAAUGCGCAGAUAUCAGGAGGAACACCGGUGGCGAAGGCGGGUCUCUGGGCAGUAACUGACGCUGAGGAGCGAAAGCGUGGGGAGCGAACAGGAUUAGAUACCCUGGUAGUCCACGCCGUAGACGGUGGGUACUAGGUGUGGGUUCCUUCCUUCGGGAUCCGUGCCGUAGCUAACGCAUUAAGUACCCCGCCUCGGGAGUACGGCCGCAAGGGCUAAAACUCAAAGGAAUUGACGGGGGCCCGGCACAAGCCGGCGGAGCAUGUGGAUUAAUUCGAUGCAACGGCGAAGAACCUUACCUGGGUUUGACAUGCACAGGACGCUGGUAGAGAUAUCAGUUCCCUUGUGGCCUGUGUGCAGGUGGUGCAUGGCUGUCGUCAGCUCGUGUCGUGAGAUGUUGGGCUAAGUCCCGCAACGAGCGCAACCCCUAUCUUAUGUUGCCAGCGCGUUAUGGCGGGGACUCGUAAGAGACUGCCGGGGUCAACUCGGAGGAGGGUGGGGAUGACGUCAAGUCAUCAUGCCCCUUAUGUCCAGGGCUUCACACAUGCUACAAUGGCCGGUACAAAGGGCUGCGAAUCCGCGAGGUGGAGCGAAUCCCUUGAAAGCCGGUCUCAGUUCGGAUCGGGGUCUGCAACUCGACCCCGUGAAGUUGGAGUCGCUAG